AGAGUUAAAAAGUAUGUGAAAUUGUUGAAAGGGAAACGCUUGGAACCAGUAUUGUCUGCAGGUAAUCAGCUGUGCGGCCCGAAAGGGUUUAGCGCGGUGCACUUGCCUGCUGACAGGUCAACAUCAGUUUGGUCUGACGUAAAAAGCUGAAGGAAGGUAGCUUGGGUUUCGGCCCGAGUGUUACAGCCUUCAGUCAUGCGUUGGACUGGACUGAGGUCUGCAGUGCUUUUUGGAUACCCGAUCGCCUCUUGAACUUUGUUUUUAGACAGCUUGCUGACUAGGAUCAAAGCUAGGGAGCCCGGUUGGUUUAUCACACCAGCACUUAGGAUGUUGACGAAAUGGUUCCAAACGACC
rnacentral:rRNA from 1 species